GAUGAACGCUGGCGGCGUGCCUAAUACAUGCAAGUCGAGCGAACAGACGAGGAGCUUGCUCCCCUGACGUUAGCGGCGGACGGGUGAGUAACACGUGGAUAACCUACCUAUAAGACUGGGAUAACUUCGGGAAACCGGAGCUAAUACCGGAUAAUAUAUUGAACCGCAUGGUUCAAUAGUGAAAGACGGUUUUGCGGUCACUUAUAGAUGGAUCCGCGCCGCAUUAGCUAGUUGGUAAGGUAACGGCUUACCAAGGCGACGAUGCGUAGCCGACCUGAGAGGGUGAUCGGCCACACUGGAACUGAGACACGGUCCAGACUCCUACGGGAGGCAGCAGUAGGGAAUCUUCCGCAAAGGGCGAAAGCCUGACGGAGCAACGCCGCGUGAGUGAUGAAGGUCUUCGGAUCGUAAAACUCUGUUAUUAGGGAAGAACAAAUGUGUAAGUAACUAUGCACGUCUUGACGGUACCUAAUCAGAAAGCCACGGCUAACUACGUG
rnacentral:rRNA from 1 species